UACGUAGGUGGCAAGCGUUGUCCGGAUUUACUGGGCGUAAAAGGAUGCGUAGGCGGAUACUUAAGUCAGAUGUGAAAAUCCCGAGCUUAACUUGGGAACUGCAUUUGAAACUGGGUAUCUAGAGUGUGGGAGAGGAAAGUGGAAUUCCUAGUGUAGCGGUGAAAUGCGUAGAGAUUAGGAAGAACACCAGUGGCGAAGGCGACUUUCUGGACCAUAACUGACGCUGAGGCAUGAAAGCGUGGGGAGCAAACAGG
rnacentral:rRNA from 1 species